UACGAGGGGGGGCGAGCGUUGUUCGGAAUUAUUGGGCGUAAAGGGUGCGUAGGCGGCGCGGUAAGUCGGGUGUGAAAUCUCGGAGCUUAACUCCGAAACUGCAUUCGAUACUGCCGUGCUUGAGGACUGGAGAGGAGACUGGAAUUUACGGUGUAGCGGUGAAAUGCGUAGAUAUCGUAAGGAAGACCAGUGGCGAAGGCGGGUCUCUGGACAGUUCCUGACGCUGAGGCACGAAGGCCAGGGGAGCAAACGGG
rnacentral:rRNA from 1 species